ensembl:rRNA 5S_rRNA 5S ribosomal RNA
UAAUUAAGCCGUAGUACCCUGAUGGUGCCUGAUCUUGUCUGAUCUCAGGAGCUGAGCAAGGCUGGGCCUGGAUAGUACUUGGAUGGACAGUAACUCCUGUGUUCAAGUAA